AUGUGUGAAACUUUCUAGUGAAGUGUCGUAACUCUACUAUACAGGAUUUAUUUCUUUUU
rnacentral:antisense_RNA from 1 species